CGGGGUGCAGCAGGCGCGAAAACUCUACAAUGCAGGCAACUGCGAUAGGGGAACAUCGAGUGGUCCUCAUAUUGGGGGCCUGUCCUCCCGCCUAAAAAGCGGGAGUUAGCAAGGGCCGGGCAAGACCGGUGCCAGCCGCCGCGGUAAUACCGGCGGCUCGAGUGGUGGCCGAUAUUAUUGAGUCUAAAGGGUCCGUAGCCGGCUUUGCAAGUCUCUCGGGAAAUCCAGCGGCUUAACCGUUGGUCGUCCGGGGGGUACUACAUUGCUUGGGACUGGGAGAGGUAGGAGGUACUCAGGGGGUAGGAGUGAAAUCCUGUAAUCCUUUGGGGACCACCGGUGGCGAAGGCGUCCUACCAGAACAGGUCCGACGGUGAGGGACGAAAGCUAGGGGCACGAACCGGAUUAGAUACCCGGGUAGUCCUAGCCGUAAACGAUGCUCGCUAGGUGUCACAACAGUCGUGAACUGUUGUGGUGCCGUAGGGAAGCCGUGAAGCGAGCCACUUGGGAAGUACGACCGCAAGGUUAAACUUAAAGGAAUUGGCGGGGGAGCACAAGGGCGAUUCGCG
rnacentral:rRNA from 1 species